UACAGAGGUCCCGAGCGUUGUUCGGAUUCACUGGGCGUAAAGGGUGCGUAGGUGGCGAGGUAAGUCGGAUGUGAAAGCUCGGAGCUCAACUCCGAAAUGGCAUUGGAAACUACCUUGCUCGAGGGUUGGAGGGGAGACUGGAAUACUUGGUGUAGCAGUGAAAUGCGCAGAUAUCAGGAGGAACACCGGUGGCGAAGGCGGGUCUCUGGGCCGAUACUGACACUGAGAGACGAGAGCUAGGGGAGCGAAUGGG
rnacentral:rRNA from 1 species